CUCGACUGACCCUCACCUUCCACCCUGUGCCUCUUAUCUGUCAGUGAUCCCUCAUUCUCCUGACUGUGAUUGGCAGCCUUUAAGGAAAACUCUCCAACCAGAGUGGAGGAGGUCCCGGUACAAAAGAAAGUCACCACAAAACAAACAAUCUGAUGAGAAUGUGGCGUUUUGCUAACUCACUGCUGAAUCCAACAAAGGCAUGAGAACAGACAUCACCAGCCUGACACAACACUGGCUUAACCAAUGGCAUCAGUUUGGGGCGGGACUAGCUGUUUAUCCAUCCAAUGGCAGAUGAGGCUGAUGUGCACUCCAAUGGGUUUGGUGGAGAGCUGCGGAAACUUCCUGUCAGGGCCUGCCGUGAGAUCAACACCUGUUGGAGUGAGACGGAGGAGUCACUGAGUCCCGACUGGUGUGUUGCUUUCCAGCCCACACACUGAAAUCACACAAACACACACACAAGAAGCACAAACAAAUAAUACUAUCUGAUUCCUCAAAACUCGAAAAUGUGUCUGAAAUGCUAGAUUAGUCUGACGGCUACUCGCGUUAAAAGCCAAAAAUAUAAAAUGUAUAAAAC
ensembl:lncRNA